CGAGUAUGCGCAGACAGGUGUCUACGGAGUGGAAAGAAGUUGUUGCAUCUGAUAAUUCUUCAAUCGUGUAGCAGCAACUGCAGCUUACAUGGAAUGAGGAUUAUCGGAUUCAUCUACACUCACUGAUCAUCCAAGGUGAAUUGAUGACCUCAAGCAAAUGGAUGUUGUUGUCAUCUGAAGAGAAGGUUGUCCUGGGCCCAUGUUUAGAGGCAUUUGGGGCAUAUCAGACACAUAUCAGAAUCAAGCUGCAUGCACACUUGAGUUUAUUCAGAGAGAAGUUGUGGGCAUCAGUCCGGAAACUGGAUCAAAAAUUUGCUGCUGGAAUGUGAGACAAAUAAAGGCAUGGAAUGAACCCAAAUGUAUGAACACUGCUACGAAAACUAAUGGACUUUAAAUGGCUUGCCAGUUAAUUCCAAUGGAAUUGAAGAAGAGACUCUGACAAGAUUUUCAAGUUUGUGUUUAAUUUAAAAGUUUAUCUUCAUAGAUAAGCAAUUUAAAGGUAGGCACAGUUAAAACUAUUUCUUGUGUGUUUGUUUAAACUGUAAAUUUAUGACUGAAGUUCGGUCACUAUGUAGUAAUGUGUUCCUUUGUGGUUAAUUAAAUGCUGCAGUGCUUAGUGGUAUUCGUUGUUGUAUUUCCAAGGCUAAAGCCUUAUUUUGUGAUCUGCAUUGUAUUGGAGAGUUUUGGAAACUAAUACUUAUUAUCUUAAUGCAUUGGAAAG